UCGAGGAUCUUCGUCAAUGGGGGCAACCCUGAACGAGCGAUGCCGCGUGCGCGAUGAAGGCCUUCGGGUUGUAAAGCGCGAAAGUGGGGAGAAAAGCCGAAAGGUGUGAUCUAUCCACAGUAAGCUCGGGCUAAGUUCGUGCCAGCAGCCGCGGUAAGACGAACCGAGCGAACGUUGUUCGGAAUAACUGGGCUUAAAGGGCGCGUAGGCGGGCUGUCAAGUCUGGGGUGAAAUCCCGCGGCUCAACCGUGGAACUGCCUCAGAUACUGACGGCCUCGAGGAAGGUAGGGGCGAGCGGAACGAAUGGUGGAGCGGUGAAAUGCGUUGAUAUCAUUCGGAACUCCGGUGGCGAAGGCGGCUCGCUGGACCUUUUCUGACGCUGAGGCGCGAAAGCUAGGGGAGCAAACGGG
rnacentral:rRNA from 1 species